UACGGGGGGAGCAAGCGUUGUUCGGAUUUACUGGGCGUAAAGGGCGCGUAGGCGGCCAGCACAAGUCAGUUGUGAAAUCUCCGGGCUUAACUCGGAACGGUCAACUGAUACUGUGCGGCUAGAGUGCAGAAGGGGCAACUGGAAUUCUCGGUGUAGCGGUGAAAUGCGUAGAUAUCGAGAGGAACACCAGUGGCGAAGGCGAGUCUCUGGACAACACCUGACACUGAGGCACGAAAGCUAGGGGAGCAAACGGG
rnacentral:rRNA from 1 species